rnacentral:rRNA from 1 species
AUGCUUCGGCACCUCUUCCUAUGGGUAACACAACACAAGGCCAUACUAACUGCACUAAGCGGAUGUCGCCUACGAGCAACGACGAUGAGGUUGCAACUCCUAGGGAUCCGCCAAAGCCAACUACAAAAGGGAGGGCAAGGAGUAGACGCUACCAUUCAGCUCUUGAACUGCACCCUAAAAGGAAAAACAGGUGCAGCUACUGCAACUCAGAUAACCACAAUGCUACUAGCUGCCCUGCAAAGUUGGCGUGACAACUUGGUGACAUAUAAGCAAUAUAUAAAAUGGGGGGAGCAUCAAAAAAAAGUUCUGGCUUUGCACUGUUAG